GUAGGUGGCAAGCGUUGUCCGGAAUUAUUGGGCGUAAAGCGCGCGCAGGUGGUUCUUUAAGUCUGAUGUGUAAGCCCCCGGGCUCAACCGGGGAGGGUCAUUGGAAACUGGGGAACUUGAGUGCAGGAGAGGAAAGUGGAAUUCCACGUGUAGCGGUGAAAUGCGUAGAUAUGUGGAGGAACACCAGUGGCGAAGGCGACUUUCUGGCCUGUAACUGACACUGAGGCGCGAAAGCGUGGGGAGCAAACAGGAUUAGAUACCCUGGUAGUCCACGCCGUAAACGAUGAGUGCUAAGUGUUGGGGGGUUUCCGCCCCUCAGUGCUGCAGCUAACGCAUUAAGCACUCCGCCUGGGGAGUACGGUCGCAAAGACUG
rnacentral:rRNA from 1 species